AGUGAACGCUGGCGGCGUGCCUAACACAUGCAAGUCGAACGGGCUAGUGCUUCGCACUAGUCUCUUUCUGGGGUUGUUACUCUAAGGCUACCUGCUAAAGUUAUUGCUUUAAAGCAGGGGUUUUAGGAGACUUUCCCCGAAAGGGGCCAGUGCGGAGCACUGGCCAGUGGCGAACGGGUGAGUAACACGUGGGUAAUCUACCCUCGAGUGGGGAAUAAGCUUCCGAAAGGGGGUCUAAUGCCGCAUAACGUUUCAUAACGAUGGUUAUGAAACCAAAGCCCAAAAGGCGCUCGAGGAGGAGCCUGCGUCCUAUCAGCUUGUUGGCAGGGUAAUGGCCUACCAAGGCUAUGACGGGUAGCCGGCCUGAGAGGGUGUCCGGCCACACUGGAACUGAGACACGGUCCAGACUCCUACGGGAGGCAGCAGUGGGGAAUUUUGCGCAAUGGGGAAACCCUGACGCAGCGACGCCGCGUGGAGGAUGACGGCCUCGGUUGUAACGUACCUGUCAGAAGGACGGAAGUACCGACG
rnacentral:rRNA from 1 species